rnacentral:rRNA from 1 species
AUGAACGCUGGCGGCGUGCCUAAUCCAUGCAAGUCGAGCGAACAGACGAGGAGCUUGCUCCUUUGACGUUAGCGGCGGACGGGUGAGUAACCCGUAGGUAACCUACCUAUAAGACUGGGAUAACUUCGGGAAACCGGAGCUAAUACCGGAUAAUAUUUCGAACCGCAUGGUUCGAUAGUGAAAGAUGGCUUUGCUAUCACUUAUAGAUGGACCUGCGCCGUAUUAGCUAGUUGGUAAGGUAACGGCUUACCAAGGCAACGAUACGUAGCCGACCUGAGAGGGUGAUCGGCCACACUGGAACUGAGACACGGUCCAGACUCCUACGGGAGGCAGCAGUAGGGAAUCUUCCGCAAUGGGCGAAAGCCUGACGGAGCAACGCCGCGUGAGUGAUGAAGGUCUUCGGAUCGUAAAACUCUGUUAUUAGGGAAGAACAAACGUGUAAGUAACUGUGCACGUCUUGACGGUACCUAAUCAGAAAGCCACGGCUAACUACGUG